ACUUCUUAAAAGAAUGAGAUGUGACUAACUCGUCCCAAGCCACACAAGAAGCUGGUGGCAGCACAGAGGAGUGAUGAUUUGUUGGCAGGGCAGGCCAAAAACCCACUUGGGCAAGAUUCAAACAAACAUCCAGGCCAGCAGCUUCAAGUGCUCUCAUUCACAAGCGAUCAGUCAGAAAUCUCUCUGCUGAGUUUGGUGGCACCGACAUCAAAGCUGUCCAUGUUGUUUGUUGUCACCUCCACUGUAGUGUCAGUGCCAGUGUACAGCAGAGGGGGACCUCAUCUCUGAACCAUGCUGGGUUAGGAGGUGGGAGCCAGCACUUUUCUUCCAGCAGAUUCCAUCCAACCUUGACCUCCACCAUCCAGAUCUGCAGGAGCUUUGGAGACUCAAGAGACAGAUGAGCACACAUGGAAGAGAGAUGCUUGGUGCAGAGUGAGCAGGAGUGAGGAUCUGUGUUCUGCCACUGCAUCCAGCUUGCUGCACAGCCCGAGGCCACAUGAAACAGUGAAGGAGAGGCUGAGCCUGCACACCCACACCAAAAUGCUUUUGACAUUUGGAGAUCUGCAGGAGUG